CUCGAGGAGCAAGUAAUUACAGCUAGUCUAUUUGGGCCUCUCUUGAACUAUCCAGUAAUCACAAGGACCUGACAGUUUCCCCUCAACUAGUGCAACUUGGCAGCAGGGAGAGACUCUGACUUUGUGAAUUAGGAUCCUCAGCAAACAAGAACAGGGACAAUUCUGAAGAAAUCUAUAGGAUGUUAAGCAAGAGCUUGAUUAAUUAUGACACACAUCAAAUAUUUCAAAAGAGAGCAAUAUGUGCAAUGUGGCCAAGAUAACCGUUUUGGGGUGGCCUGACCGAGGCACAUUCAAUCUCCGAAAACUUAAAAUCACUGCAUUGCCCUUAAUGAUAAUGUUUGGAAGUGACAGAGGUGGCUGGGUGCCGAAGAUAUCCUGCAACGGAGCCGGCUCUUGCUGCAAAGGAGAUAACACCAACAGUGUGAAUCAAUCCUAGACCUCGGAAGGCCUACACACCCAUCGCACACCAUCGUAGACUUGACUCACCAAAAAAUCCCCAUUGUAGCUCUACAAUGCCAGAAGUGGAUACAGAAACUUUAUACAGUUGUCUGAGGCUUCCUGAGGGAGAUCAUACGUGCAUUGCAUCGAGUGUGUCAUCUGUAAAAAAUUAUAAAUGUUCUCC